AGGAGGAAGGAGGAGCAGGAGCAAUGGGAAGGGAGAGGUCCCAAAGAGGCCAGUGAAGUUCCAAAGUAGUCUCGGCAAAAUCAUGCCAGCAAGAAGGAAUUGGACAGAGCUGGCCAAGCAUAUGGUCAUCGGGUUCAAGAAGGAAGGUUCCAUUGGCUGAGAAGUCCCCAUGGGGGCAUCAGGGUCAAACAGAACAGAGAGCCCUUUUAAAAAUCACUAGGCUCUGAAUUUCUGCUUCUAUUUAGGCCACCUUUUGAUCUCAUGAAGCUCUUUUCACAAAAUCCUUUCAAAUAUAUUUGAUUAUUGGGUUUCAGCUGGGACACUAUUGACAGUAUCUGAACUCCUUUUUAAAAUUUAAAAUUUUUCUUUUAAACCAAAGGUAUUUAUCAAGUGACCCCAAACCAAAACCAAUAAGCCUUCUUAUCACAUGACCAUGAAAGCAAGAAGCAUUGCCAAAGAGGGUGCAAAAGAUGUAGACCUCCCAUGAUCCGGAAGCGCUUCUAGAGAUAGUCAAAAGAAAGAAAGAUUUAGAUACUACCAGCAGCACACCCCUCCUGUUCCAAGGGCGAGCUGGCAACAGUCAGUAGGAUGCUAGUUACAAACGGGGUACAACCCUCAUUUCUGUCAUAUCUAUAGGGCCCCCAACCUAAUGGUUGGCCACCUGUACAUGCAAGAACCAACAACUUGCACACCUCAACAGGUGGAAGCCAAGCCAAGCUCUCUGGACACAAAAUGAGACAAACAGGAAAGCAAUAUUGAAAGGAUCGAUGACCAGUGGGUAUCUCAAAACCAAACUGAACCAGCCACAAUCCAAAGAAUUAAUUUUUACAGGUGUUUUUCACCUGCUAAUCUGAAUUAAGAAACGAAGGGACAAGGAGAAGUUUUUACCUUCCUCUCUUGACUGGGCACUGGGAGAGCUGGCUUUGGUGAGAAUUCUUACCUUUUGCUGGCUUUUGUCAGUUUUCCCAGGACCCCAUCUGCAGGCUCCAGAGGGAGUGGCAUGUCCCAGCUGUUCCUACAUGGUUGCCAGAAACUGUAGGGGACGAAAAAUAUCUUUUCCUUCUACCCAUCUUAGGUUCAUUGGCUGGAGCCUCUGUAGCAAAAGACAGAUUAACAAGAGAAAAGCAUACGAAUUUAUUUAACGUAAAUUUUAUGCGACACAGGAGCCUUCAUAAGGAAAUGAAGACCUGAAGAAAGUUAAACCUGAGUGUAUUUAUAAUAGGUUUGAGGAGGAAUGCAGAGUCAUGAAAAAAUAUGAUAGGGCCAAAAAAAAAAAUAAGAGUAUGAGUAAUAGACUGGGAGAUUGUUUGGGUUCCUCUCUGUGUCCCUGUGUCUCUGGAGAUAAGGACGCUCCUUUCCUCUAGGUAUAAGAAGGGCUCUUCUCACAUGAGGGUGUUAUGACCUGCUUCUGGGGACAAGGGUGACGGAAGGUCACAGAGAUUGCUCUGCACAGGCUGCUUCACAGAUUCCUUCAGACUCUAGAUCCCUUCCAUCCGUGUGCUGCCCCAGAAAGAAGAGGGACUCCUCCCUGGGCUCCUGGCUCCUGGCUCCAGGGUUUCCUCCACACAGCAGGUCACUCACUCUGGAGGAAGCCAGUGGCUCUGUCACAAGGACACUCAAGCAGCCAUAUGGAGAGGUUGACUUGGCAAGGAACUGAGUGAGACCUCGUGCCAACAGCCAGCACCAUCUUACCAGGGGGGUGAGUGAGUCAUCUCGGAAGCGGAUCCUCCCGCCCCAGGCAAGCCUUCAGAUGACUACAGCCAACCAGGUAACGUCUUGACUGCAGCCUCAUGAGAGACCCUGAACCACAAAUACCCAGCUAAGCCUCUCUCAGAUUCCCAGUCCACAGAAACUGUGGGAUAGGUGUUUGUUGUUUUAAGUUACUAAACUUUGGGGUAAUUUGCUAUGCAGCAAUAGAGCAAUAGAGAGUGAAUACAAAUACACCACGCAUACACAUACACAUACAUGCACAACACCCAUGUACUCACAUACAGUUGCCCCUCAGUAUCCAUGGGAAAUUGGUUCCAGGACCCCCAGGGAUACCAAAAUCCGAGAAUGCUCAGGUCCCUUAUGUAAAAUGACGUGGUGUUUGCAUAUAACUACACACAUCCUGCCAUAUACUUUAAACCAUCUCUAGAGUACUUAUAAUAAAUACCUAAUACAAUGUA